rnacentral:rRNA from 1 species
CCUACGGGCGGCAGCAGUGGGGAAUAUUGGACAAUGGGCGAAAGCCUGAUCCAGCCAUGCCGCGUGUGUGAAGAAGGCCUUCGGGUUGUAAAGCACUUUCAGUGGGGAAGAAAGCCUUGGGGCUAAUACCCUCGAGGAAGGACAUCACCCACAGAAGAAGCACCGGCUAACUCCGUGCCAGCAGCCGCGGUAAUACGGAGGGUGCGAGCGUUAAUCGGAAUUACUGGGCGUAAAGCGCGCGUAGGCGGUCUGAUAAGCCGGUUGUGAAAGCCCCGGGCUCAACCUGGGAACGGCAUCCGGAACUGUCAGGCUAGAGUGCAGGAGAGGAAGGUAGAAUUCCCGGGGUAGCGGUGAAAUGCGUAGAGAUCGGGAGGAAUACCAGUGGCGAAGGCGGCCUUCUGGACUGACACUGACGCUGAGGUGCGAAAGCGUGGGUAGCAAACAGGAUUAGAUACCCCGGUAGUC